rnacentral:rRNA from 1 species
GAUGAACGCUGGCGGCGUGCCUAAUACAUGCAAGUCGAGCGAACAGACGAGGAGCUUGCUCCUCUGAUGUUAGCGGCGGACGGGUGAGUAACACGGGGAUAACCUACCUAUAAGACUGGGAUAACUUCGGGAAACCGGAGCUAAUACCGGAUAACAUGUUGAACCGCAUGGUUCAACAGUGAAAGACGGUCUUGCUGUCACUUAUAGAUGGAUCCGCGCCGCAUUAGGUAGUUGGUAAGGUAACGGCCUAACAAGGCAACGAUGCGUAGCCGACCGGAGAGGGUGACCGGCCCCCCUGGAACUGAGACCCGGUCCAGACUCCUACGGGAGGCAGCAGUAGGGAAUCUUCCGCAAUGGGCGAAAGCCUGACGGAGCAACGCCGCGUGAGUGAAGAAGGUCUUCGGAUCGUAAACCUCUGUUAUUAGGGAAGAACAAAUGUGUAAGUAACUAUGCACGUCUUGACGGUACCUAAUCAGAAAGCCACGGCUAACUACGUG